AGAGUUUGAUCCUGGCUCAGGAUGAACGCUAGCGGCAGGCUUAACACAUGCAAGUCGCGGGGCAGCGGGAGAGAAGCUUGCUUCUCCCGCCGGCGACCGGCGCACGGGUGAGUAACACGUAUGCAACCUGCCCUUGUCAGGGGGACAACCCAGCGAAAGUUGUGCUAAUCCCGCGUAUAUCCCAAGGGGGCAUCCCCUUGGGAGGAAAGCUUAGGCGGACAAGGAUGGGCAUGCGGCGCAUUAGGCAGUAGGCGGGGUAACGGCCCACCUAACCGACGAUGCGUAGGGGUUCUGAGAGGAAGGCCCCCCACACUGGUACUGAGACACGGACCAGACUCCUACGGGAGGCAGCAGUGAGGAAUAUUGGUCAAUGGCCGAGAGGCUGAACCAGCCAAGCCGCGUGAGGGAAGAAGGCCCUACGGGUCGUAAACCUCUUUUGUCAGGGAACAAAAACCGGUACGUGUACCGGGUUGAGUGUACCUGAAGAAAAAGCAUCGGCUAACUCCGUGCCAGCAGCCGCGGUAAUACGGAGGAUGCGAGCGUUAUCCGGAUUUAUUGGGUUUAAAGGGUGCGUAGGCGGACUUUUAAGUCAGCGGUGAAAGCCCGGGGCUCAACCCCGGCGAGCCGUUGAAACUGGAGGUCUUGAGUUGGAGAGGGGUAAGCGGAAUGCGCAGUGUAGCGGUGAAAUGCUUAGAUAUUGCGCAGAACUCCGAUUGCGAAGGCAGCUUACUGGCUCCACACUGACGCUGAGGCACGAAAGCGUGGGUAUCGAACAGGAUUAGAUACCCUGGUAGUCCACGCAGUAAA
rnacentral:rRNA from 1 species